rnacentral:tRNA from 1 species
GAGCCGCUAGCUCAGUUGGUAGAGCAACGGACUUUUAAUCCGUAGGUCCCAGGUUCGAGUCCUGGGCGGCUCA